GAAACCGUUCAGGGGUAAACCUGUGAAACCCAAAAGAUCGAAAGGGGAGAUUCAUCGUCGACGGCGUCGACGCGAGUCGGUGCGCGAUGCCCCGAAUGGUCCGUUCGCGCGGUUCCACGGCGAGGGCACGCCACCUUCGGCGAACGUUCGGCGUCGUAGUCGUGCACUUCUCCCCUAGUAGAACGUCGCGACCCGUUGCGUGUCGGUCUACGGCCCGAGUGGGAGCCUGUUGCGUCUCGCGUUCGCGCGAUCGCGACAGACCCUCGGUCGCCCGGCCGGCUGCGCGACGGUACUCUGACGGUAUCGGGCCGCAACCAAUCCAUUUUCGAAUGUGUUUGCGUCAGGCCCGCCGCAAGCUCGAUCAGUUCCUACCCGGUGGUUCCACGGACCUUGCGCCGUCCCCGGGCCUGAUCAGCUGUUGGCCGGCGGUGUCCUCGGACUGGCCAAAGCUUCGAUUACCGGUCAGCGACGCUAUUGCUUUGGGUACUCUCAGGACCCGUCUUGAAACACGGACCAAGGAGUCUAACAUGUGCGCGAGUCAUUGGGCUCAGUGAAACCUAAAGGCGAAAUGAAAGUGAAGAGUCGACCCUCUGCGGAGGGUCGACCGAGGGAGGAUGGGCCGCGCACAGCACGGCCCCGCACUCCCGGGGCGUCUCGUUCUCAUUGCGAGAGGAGGCGCACCCAGAGCGUACACGUUGGGACCCGAAAGAUGGUGAACUAUGCCUGGUCAGGACGAAGUCAGGGGAAACCCUGAUGGAGGUCCGUAGCGAUUCUGACGUGCAAAUCGAUCGUCGGAACUGGGUAUAGGGGCGAAAGACUAAUCGAACCAUCUAGUAGCUGGUUCCCUCCGAAGUUUCCCUCAGGAUAGCUGGCACUCGUUCAUUGCGAGUUUCAUCUGGUAAAGCGAAUGAUUAGAGGCCUUGGGGCCGAAACGACCUCAACCUAUUCUCAAACUUUAAAUGGGUGAGAUCUCUGGCUUGCUCGAACUAUGAAGCCACGAGAUUUGAAUCAGAGUGCCAAGUGGGCCAAUUUUGGUAAGCAGAACUGGCGCUGUGGGAUGAACCAAACGCAGAGUUAAGGCGCCUAAGACGACGCUUAUGGGAUACCAUGAAAGGCGUUGGUUGCUUAAGACAGCAGGACGGUGGCCAUGGAAGUCGGAA
rnacentral:rRNA from 1 species